rnacentral:rRNA from 1 species
UACGUAUGGUGCAAGCGUUAUCCGGAAUGACUGGGUGUAAAGGGAGCGUAGACGGUUGUACAAGUCUGAUGUGAAAGCCCACGGCUCAACUGUGGGAGUGCAUUGGAAACUGUAGAACUAGAGUAUCGGAGAGGCAAGUGGAAUUCCUAGUGUAGCGGUGAAAUGCGUAGAUGUUAGGAGGAACACCAGUGGCGAAGGCGGCUUGCUGGACGAAAACUGACGUUGAGGCUCGAAAGCGUGGGGAGCAAACAGG